GACGAACGCUGGCGGCGUGCUUAACACAUGCAAGUCGAACGGAAAGGCCCUGCUUUUGUGGGGUGCUCGAGUGGCGAACGGGUGAGUAACACGUGAGUAACCUGCCCUUGACUUUGGGAUAACUUCAGGAAACUGGGGCUAAUACCGGAUAGGAGCUCCUGCUGCAUGGUGGGGGUUGGAAAGUUUCGGCGGUUGGGGAUGGACUCGCGGCUUAUCAGCUUGUUGGUGGGGUAGUGGCUUACCAAAGCUUUGACGGGUAGCCGGCCUGAGAGGGUGACCGGCCACAUUGGGACUGAGAUACGGCCCAGACUCCUACGGGGGGCAGCAGUGGGGAAUAUUGCACAAUGGGCGGAAGCCUGAUGCAGCAACGCCGCGUGCGGGAUGACGGCCUUCGGGUUGUAAACCGCUUUCGCCUGUGACGAAGCGUGAGUGACGGUAAUGGGUAAAGAAGCACCGGCUAACUACGUG
rnacentral:rRNA from 1 species